rnacentral:rRNA from 1 species
AUGGCCAAACAUGGUCGAAAUACUGUCACAUGGAGAUGUCUAUCAACUGCUAUGAAAACAGUAAUUGAAUCCACAAAAUGUGCUCUAGGAGAUGGCUCCAGGAUCUCAUUCUGGUACGACUGCUGGCUACAAUGUGGAAGGCUGCACCACUCUUUCCCAGUACUUUUCUCUUUCGCACAAACCCCUUGCUGCACUGUCGCCUCUCAGUUCAGCGAUGGGCAUUGGAAUAUCAAGUUACAUCCAAACCUGACUGCAACAGCCACAAGAGAACUGGAGACACUGCUUGCUCUGCUCAUUGACAUUCAUCCGACCCCCUCUAUCAAGGAUCUUAGAAGCCCGGUUACGAGAACUGGUAACGCAACUACUGCUUUCUUCUAUGAUUUGGUCACUUUCAGAGGGGUCCUCUGCCCUAUUGCUCCAAAAAUCUGGGACAGCCUGAUUCCUAACAAGUACCGGGUCUUCCUCUGGCUUGCGCUACGGGGGCGCUUGAAUACAAGGGAUAAUAUUCUCAGGAAAAAUUGGACAUCAAUCACAACGCACAACGGCUGCGACUUAUGUCCGGCCACUGAAAGUGCCUGCCACAUAAUCCUUAGAUGCAGGCUAGCUGACGCAGUAUGGGAACGCACCAACACACGAAGCAGUGCAAGGCAAGCAACCGAUUUAGCUGAAUUCAUGUUACGGCCUGAACCUACCGCGUAUGGCAAGCUGUGGCAUAUUGUGGCUGCAGCAUGCGCUGUGACAUGCGCUGUGACCUUGUGGGCAGCCAGAAAUGAUCAAGUCUUCCAUAACACCAAGUGGGCCAGUGCUAGAGCGUUUCAUGAGAUUGCACAACUUCUCAGGCUAUGGGGCAAUCGCGCCAAAAACGAAGGAAAUAAGAUCAAACUUUGUAAUUUUGCUGAUGUUUUCUCCCCGCCCCCCUCCCCACACUCCGUAUAG